AGAGCCCAGGUCUGUCACCUCACAGAGAGCCCAGGUGUGUCACCCCACAGAGAGCCCAGAGCUCAGAUUCCACCAAGAGAACAGAAAGAAAUCAUGGAUCUGAUGGGCAAGAGAUGUUCUCCCCUUUGUGCAGUCACUGUCUGAACAGUGAUUAAAUGUGCAAGGAGGUGUAAGGAGCAACAACAGGACUCAGACACGAGCUGUGUACAGAGGCACACACCCAAUCCCACAUUUCUAAUGGAUUUAUCCCUGGAUAUUCCCCAGCAGUGACACCUGGCUGUUGUCUGGUCCACGGGCAGGACUGUAAUAAAGACAAGCAAUGCCAAA